AUGUGGAGGAUAGUGGGUUGCGUUUUGUGUACAGAUAGUUGUCCGGACAAUCUGUGGCAAUACUUUAUUUGGUGUCAUUUCUAUCUUCCUGAUGGGGAGAGGUUCUAUACCUUUGGCUUGGCUGCGUUAUGCUGGGCAAUGUGGAAUUGUCGCAAUAAAAAAAUCUUUGAGUUCAAAGAGUUGAAGUCUCCUUUUAAUGUGGUGUACUCUGCUUGUGGGUAUAUCUCUUAUUGGGCAGGAUUGCUGUCGGGCGAAGAUCGGGAGGCGAUGGAGCGUGGCUCUAAGAUGCUGAGGAUCAACACUUCGAGCUUGAUGAGAAUCUGCGUUGCACCGAGCGAUGCGAUGCGUACCGGGUGA
rnacentral:rRNA from 1 species